AGCCCACUCCCAAGGUGACAGUUUUAGUAGAUGGGGCCUCUCGAAGUGAUUAGGUCAGGAGGGCAGGGCCUUCAUGAAUGAGACUAAGACCCUUACAAAAGAAGCCUGGGAGAGUUCCCUAGCUCCUUUCAUCACAGGAAGCCACAGCAAGAAGUCGACUGUGUACAACGAUGAAGAGAUCCUUCAUCAGGAUGCUGCCUGCUGACACUGUGAUCUUGGACUUCCCAGGCUCCAGAAUUGUGAGAGCAACACCUCACAUUUUUAGUGACCUCUGAUUUCAACCUCAAAUGUUUGGAACACAACCAGCCAACCUGGAAUGAGCAAGAAAAAGCAUUAUCAGAGCUAGAUACCUACAAGGAGCAUCUACAAGCAAAAUUUCUGUCUGCCCCAGAAAUGUAGUGAUAUGUGUGAUAAGACGAGAGAUAGCAUCUAUUGUGGGCUCAGUGAAUAUCCACUUUCCGAUUAUUGACGGGAAACAAGCACAAGUGAUACACAAAGAAGUUGAGAACAAGUUGGAUUGGAGAGUCAAAAUAAAAUAUCUUGAAAAAAAAAAAAAGAGAAACAAUGCUGAUCUAUGACAAAGAAGAUCCAGAUGGUUAGUGGAACUUAAUCACUGGUCUCCUUGAUGUACAAAAUCACAGAGCAGAGGACUGAGCACUGUUCACUGUCAUUCAGGUCUCACCUUUGCUAACCCCUGGGAUGGAUUAUGAUCUAGUUUAUACAUAUUGUGUCUGUUCGUGUAGAAUCUUGCCUACAGGACUGUGGGACUCUUUGUUGAUGGCAGUAACACUGGUAACUCUGUGUUUUAGACCACCCAUAGAACCCAUGCCCCUUCUCUUCUGUAGGUUUGCAAAAAAGAAGAUAUCUGAUGGGACAAAUAUCCUGCUGCUCCUUUCCUUGCUGUGCCAACCUUUUUGUUGAAGAUUUAGUGCAACGUCACAAGUGACUUAAAAUGUUAAAGAGACAAGGUAUUAGUCUUAGGGUUUCCAGGCCAACAUGGUCACAUGUUAAUGAACCAUGGACUCUAUUUUGUGUAUGGUAGCCAGUUUUUUAAAAAUUAAAAAUAAGAGAAUAGAAAAUAACAGAGUUCAUUGUACAGAGCAAGGCUAAGUAUUGUCCUUGGAGGCUUUUGAUUUUUUUUUUUUUCACAUACCUACAAAAUAUAUUUCUUACUGUGGGUUUGUGCUGGAUUGAAUAGCAUUUCCUCGAAACUCAUGUCUACCCAGAACCUGUAAAUGUGACCUUAUUUGGAAAUAAAUUCUCUGCAGAUGUAAUGAAGGUAAGACGAUGUCAUAUUGGAGUGGGUCCUAAAUCCAAUAUGACUGGUGUCCUAUAAGAAGAAGGAAAUUUGGCACACAGAGAAGAUGGCCAUGGAAGCAGAGAUUGGAAGGAUACAGCUGUAACCAAGGAACACCACGAGUUGCCAGCAAUGGCACAAGCUAAGAGAGUCAUGGGACCUAUUUUCCCUCAGAGCCUUCAGGGGAAACCAAUUUUGUUGGCACCUUGAUUUCAGAUUUGGAGUGAGAGAAGAAAUUUCUAUUGUUUUAAGCCGCCCGGCCUGAAGUAGGUUGUUACAGUAGCCAUGGGAAACUAAUACAGCAUCGUUAAUGGAAACUUAACAUGUCUGAACCUGCCAACUUGGACUUUUCUUAUAAGUGCUCAAAGAAAGCACCUGGUGUUUUGAAGUCUUCAGAAAAGAGCGACUCAUGGAUGUUCCUUCCAUCUUUCCCUGCCAAUCCUGCCUUCAGGAAAAGUGAUUAUAAGGUACACCAUUUCAAGUUCUGCCUACUGAGAGGAUUCUCCUUCAGUUUAGGCCUUCUGGGCAACCAGUUGAGUGAAGUAAUGCCUGAACUGUCUACUUUCAAAUGCCACCAGUAUAUCUUGCAGAACCAAGAAUUUAGAAAAUUGGAGGAAGGGGUGUCUCCAUGUUGACAUUCACAUCUCUGAGAAGAAAAUCAUGAACGCAUUUACUGUUGGAGUGAUGAAGAAUUUGACUUCAUGACUUCUAAGCCAUGAGAGCUGAAGACACUGGCUAGAGGGAUGCCAGUGACUCAACUGCAACAAGUGGUGCCAGUAUUGCACCUCCUUUUUUUUUUUUUAAGUUUUCUUUGUUUACAUAAUCUCUACACCCAACAUGGGGCUUGAACUCAUGACCCUGAGAUGAAGAUCUUCAUGCUCUUCCAAUCAAGCCAUAGGCACCCCAAAUAUCACACCUCUCAGUAGGAUUGCUGCAAAAUAUAAAAACGAGACACAAGAAAAAAGACUCCUUCCUCUUCUAUCUUCAUGAAGUCCCCCCAGUAGCUGCUACUGGUAGAGCCAAACAUUGAGCCAUCUUCCAAAGGAGAAAUGCAGUCUGCAGGUUCAUGUUUCAGUAUCUUUAUGCAAAGGCAAAGAAGUUCAGUCUGCAGCUGAAAAGCAAUAAAUUAAUAACUGGUACAUCUGGACUAUUAUUUAAAAUAGCCUCAUUAUAUUUUUAUUGGAUUUUCAAGUUACUUCUGUUUAUUAACUUUUCCCAUUACCUAUUUUUAAUAAAUUUUAUUUCUCUGAAAA